UCCCUCACCAACAUGGCUGGUUCCCCACUUCCUGUCAAGAUGGAGGACCACACCCAACUCAGGACACUCCCAACCACAGGCCUCCAGUCCCGAUACACCAGGUUGUGUUGUGGAUGGACGUUAUGUGCCUGCAAGGUUUCUUUUUUGACUGCCAGGACCAGGGACAGCAAUGCAAAGGAUUCCACAAAGUCAGGACCACGGACAGCUCAGUGGAAACUUCCAGACUGCAGCAGAGCAGCCACACUUGUCUGCAGGUGUAAUCAAGGCAAAUCUGCAGACAGGCUUUACCAAUCAGUCUGCUCUAUUUAACUGCGCCCUGGGUUUUCUUUUGUUGUCUUUUUUUUAAUCCUGGCAAGUGAAGGAAUAGGAGGGCAUUGGAGAGAGAACACUGUGGAGAGGAGUUUGGGAGAAAGAAAAGGAAAUUAUACCAAGGAUUGAACACCCAACGACAAACUAGGACUAGACUGGAGAACCUGAAUGACACUUGGACAAUACUUCUGUAUGAAAAUUACCAUCUGUAACGAACCCUGGCCUGUUGACUGAUUGAUUAUUUUGUUUGUUUUGUUGACGUUUAUAAAGAACACUCCCAAAGCCCCUCAUCCUCUG